UAUAUAUAUAUAUUAGAUUUUCAUGAGAGGUAUUAGCAAACUUCUUUUGCUGCAAAUCGCAGAGCACAUGAACUUUGUUAUGAUGGGAAUGUUUCAAUUAUUUUCAUAUUUCUACAUCUCCAAAGUCAUUGAAUCUGCCCAUAUGCAUUCAGAAAAUGCUUUUGACCAGCCAAUGGACUGGAAUUCCCAUAUGUUUAUUUAAGUUAACAAGUUAAUUUGAAAUCAAAUCAACAAUUAGCAAUCCUUUUGUAGCCAUUGAAGUUGUAAGCAUGUGAAAACAUAAUCAAAAUCUUUGUGUACUAAACAAAUUGAUUGCCAAUUUUGUAGAUGUCUCACCUCAUUAGAACUCGGAGGCCGAUGACUUCUACACCUAGUCUGACGACUAUACCUACUACUGCUGCCACUGCUCCGACAGAGAUGGACCAUAGGCCGGUCAAUCCGGUUCACUCAGAUGGUCCUCCAGUUCCACAGGCAUAGACAUCGUCAACUUCUUCGGUGGCGUUACCUAUUAACGCCAGACGAACUCAUCGACGCCCCCGCACUGUGGAACAGAUGUCGCCAUCGGGAUCCCUAACCGAUGCCUUCGGUACAUGGUCAGCGAAGAAACACACCCGGGGACCUUGUCAGCAAUUGAAGACGGGGAAGGUCACCCGGGUGACCAACGGUCGUAUCCUAAUCGGAUACGUUAAGCGACAUCGGGCAGCACUAACGGCGAACUAACAUAGUGCAUUGGCCCAUGACAUUGGGCAUGUUGUGCGGACCUUUUGCCCUAUGCUGUGGAAGUCUUGGAAGGCGAUGAUGGAGGAGACGAAGAUUAUGGUGCGCAAUCAAUUGUCCACAAACUACAAUUUGGAGCACAUGGACGAGGACAAGUUCGCAUAUGUCAAUCGGCUCUUCUCCGAACGCUACAAGCAGUGGAAGAGUGACUUGCACCAAUGGUUUUAGGAGUUUGAUGAUCCGUAGGUCGCUCUUGAGGAGGGAUGUCCGAAGAAGUUGGAGGACCGACAAGAUAGUUGGGUUUGGCUUUGCGGUUAUUUUAAGGACCCGACAUAUGUGAAGAAGGCGAAGGCGAACAGGAUCAAUCGAGAGAAAAAGACUCUUCUCCAUCAUUCGGGUUCGAGGCCUUUCUCCUAUAGGAUGGAGGAGGGUUCAAAAUUUCCGAAGAUUGAUGUCUUUGCUGACGUUUAUGUUCGGCCUAGGAAUGAGUUAACCCAGUCUCUUCAUAUAAGCAACUAUGGUGGAGAAGCGACAAGUGGUGCUUCAGGAGUUUGCCUCCCACCUUCCCUCGGACACGUCGAUCGAGUCUAUGGAUCCCCCUGAGAAUGCAGGGUUUCACAUCGUCACAGAGACGUUGGACCAAACUUUCGGUCAAAGGCCAGGGACAUAUUGUCGGGGGAUGAGAAAUGCCAGGCGUCGGGAAACUGGAGCCUCAUCAUCCUCGUAGUUAAAGACCAAGGUUACGACUUUGACGCAGGAAGUCGCUGGGCUAAGGAGUGAGCUAGCAUCGUUCAAGUCUCAAAUGUCAAUGCUUGUACAAGCCCUCAGUUCCUCUGGAAUACAUCUCCCCGGUUUUUCUACACCAUCGCCCUCACAGCCCUUCCACACCGAGCAAGCACAACAAUCAGGCCCGUUGACCUCCGACCCUGUCCCCAACCAGCAGCAAGAUUACCAAGCACCUCUGAAUGACAUGCCUAUAGAUUUUGCCUCUUUAUUUUUGUAGUUUUGUUCCGUUUUUUUUACUUUAUAUUUGU